AGACACUGAUCGAGCUUUAGCACUUCUGGAAGAUUAUUGUAAGAAGCUAAAAAAGCCAGAGGAGCAGCAACUGAAAAAAGCCAUUAAGAAGGUGAUGGGCAUCUUUAAAAGCAGCUUGUUCCAGGCAUUGCUAGUUCCUGCAGAGGGAAAAACAAACACGUUUGAAAUUCUUCAAGGAACAUUUUCCGCAUAGAAUCUCUACAGGCCUGGGGAUGUUGACCAGCGUGGAUGUCCUUCCAUCUACUCAUCCAGGUAUCUGUUUCAUGAAAAUGAGAAGCAGAAGAAAGAAAUGGAGUGCACAUUAGUUGGGUCACUCAGAUCGUAGGUUAGCUUGAAGGGAAAAGGCUGUCAUCUUGGAAGCUGUGACUUCAGGAUCAUCACUAAAAGGUUUGUUCUCACUGAUACAUCUUCAAACAGCGACCAGAGAUUUUGUCUGCUCUCCUUGCAACAUGUUCAUUCAUUGACCAAGAGGAGUCAUGCUGAAGAGUCAAAUUAGAAUCUAACACUCUUUUCUCCACGGAUAUCUCAGUUCUUGCUAUAGCAGUAAAGGUUCUCCCUCCCAGACUGUCUCAGUCAAGGCCUUUCAGAUAUAUUGAUUCCCAAUAAUCCUCAUUUAAAGGAUAUACUGGUUGGAAGUUAUGGGCAUUGUAGUUUAACAUGUCUGGAAGGCUGGGCUUCCAUACAGUUUCUCCUCAGGCUUCCUGCCACUGCAUCCUGGCAGUCAGGAGAGCUGUAGCCCUCACUUGAAAAAGUGACUCUCAGGUUGCUUUUGCCCUUUAAGGGUUUUGAACUCAAACUCAGCUAUUGAAAACUACAUAU